UUGAUGUUGGUUUUGUCCUUCUUUGUUUGUAGUGUCUUUCUUGUGGAUCUUAGAAUUAGCAAGCAACAGCGGACCAUCUUCAUCAGGGAUUGAAGGUCAUCAUCGAAGGCUUCCUACAGAAAUGCCCUGGAGCUGAGUAAAGAAAGUCAUGCAGGUUUGGAUCAACAUGAGGCAAGAUGCAAAUGCAAGAAAAUGAUUUUCUGCAGUGAGAUGAGAAGAGCAAAAGGGCGAGAAAUAGAGGAUGAAAAGAAAAGAAAUGGGUUCCCAGCGCUACAAACACCACUGCUGUGACAGAGUCUUUGAGUCCGAUGGUGCAGCCGAAGUGGGAUGCCAGGUCUCCGAUGAAAGCCGUCAGAACGCCAAUCAUAAUGAUUGACACCACGAAACACGCCCACCCGUU